GGCGGGGUAGCUCAGCCGGUUAGAGCGCGGCACUCAUAACGCCGAGGUCGAGGGUUCGAGACCCUCCCCCGCUACCA
rnacentral:tRNA from 1 species